rnacentral:tRNA from 2 species
CGGGGUGUAGCGCAGUUUGGCUAGCGCGCUUGAAUGGGGUUCAAGAGGUCGUGGGUUCAAAUCCCGCCACCCCGACCA